UACGUAGGUGGCAAGCGUUAUCCGGAAUUAUUGGGCGUAAAGCGCGCGCAGGCGGUUUCUUAAGUCUGAUGUGAAAGCCCCCGGCUCAACUGGGGAGGGUCACGCGAUACUGCUCGACUCGAAGGCAGGAGAGGGAAGUGGAAUUCCCGGUGUAGUGGUGAAAUGCGUAGAUAUCGGGAGGAACACCAGUGGCGAAGGCGACUUCCUGGCCUGUUCUUGACGCUGAGGCGCGAAAGCUAGGGUAGCAAACGGG
rnacentral:rRNA from 1 species